rnacentral:lncRNA from 1 species
ACAGGUGAAGAAACGGAACCCAGGGAGAUUGUAAGAUACGUGUUCAGGGGCACACUCUGAACUGGGAAGUAGGACUUCUGUCCAUUUCUGAUCUUGGAGAAUGCUGCGCACAAGGUGUAAAGAAAGCCUGCCAGACAGCAGAACAUUAAUUAAGGACCUUAAAGCUUCUGUGGCAUGAUGCCAGUAAGGCUGUGCACCCAAGCUGGUGGUAGUUAAGAAAAAGAAAUAUCAGAUACAUUGACAUCACAGCACUGAAGCUAACAUUUAUCAUGUUUUUGCCACGUGCCAAAUACUUGUAUCGCUUUAUGAAAUCCAUGAACUAGUUCGAAGAUGUUAUUUACUGCUCUUCUCCUUUUGCAGAAGAAACGGAAGCUGAUGGUGACUUGCCCUAGUCACAUGGCUCCUAAGAAGGAGAAGAAGGAUGGGAUUUGACUCGGUUUAGUUCCAGAGCCCAGUCUUUUGCCACAUUCGAGGGUUACUUCCAACAGUGUUAAAUGCAAAAGGACUCAGUUCCUAAAAUAAAUUUGUUAACAUUCACCCAUUUCUCUGAGGUUAUUCAUCACCAUUUUACUGUGCCCUUUUGGUAAUGCUUUUUUUUUUUUUUUUUUUGAAACCAGGAGGCUUUUAGGCAGACUCCAGUAGUAUAUUCUGUUAUAGUGUUUAUGUUUAUAAUGAUAGGAAAAAGUAAUGGCUUUUGUGUUGUGGGAUUAACAUGAAUUUAGAAGUAUUGCUACCCUUUGCUGUAUCAAAGUAUAGACAUACACCUGCUUGUCUUUCAGGCAGGCUUUUUGAAAUCAACGAAUCAUUCUAAGUGUUUCCAUGAAUUUAGACCCCAGCCUAAGUGACAUGGCGCUCAGUCCGUUAUUUUUACUAAUAGGAUUCCCGCCAGUGUUCCACCCACUGGUGACGGCUCCGCAGUCCUUAGCCGUGUGCGGGUGGCUGUCAGUUACCAGGAGAGCCGCCCCAUGUCCUUGGCCCCAGCCUUAGUAUCCGUAUUUGACAAACAGAGUGGAGUUUAGCUCUGAAUGUCCAAAAUGCUUUGCAUUCGCACAUCUUAAAUAACUUCUUUCAACAAAUAACUAAUCGUGGUAUGACUGCCGUAUCCCAUAACACAGAUCCUCAACCAUAGUGUUAGCCGUCAUUGUUGUAAUUAGAGAGGAAUGAAUCAAGCUUCAUUUGGGAUUUGUAAAAUUACCUCCAGCUAUCUCUCCAACAUUUUGAAAUAUAUUUUACAACAUUUCUCAAACAGACUUUACCAAGCAUAUUUUCUCUAAUUUUUAAUGAAAUCCCCUUGUGUAUUUUAAGGGAAAUUUAAUCCGUAAGUUUGUGAUUGAUUUGUGCUUAACUCAUCAAAGUUAAUUUUUAAGAACAGUUUGGUUUCCAAGAAGCCUUAGGAAACGCUUCUCAUGAAUUCUGUCAGCCUUUAAAAGCCUUUUCCCUAAUCACCCUUUUCCCCUCAGAGAUACAUGUGUAUGAAAUAUUUUAGUGUGGUGUACAGGGCAGAGCCUGUAUUUCUAAAUCUAAGCUAGUUCUGCAUUUAGCAUAAUAAGGGAGUCUGCCUUUCGUGUAAGAACUCCCUUCAGUUGUCUUUUCUUCAAAGCACGGCUCUGUGAAGAGCUGCUAAUGGCAGUGCUCUCUUGAAAACCCAGCGCACAACGGUGCCAGCCGUCUCCCCAAGUCGCAGCUCGGGGGACAGUGUGAGCUGAGCAGACCCAACGGGCUGCAGUGGCUGUUUAUCGGGGAGCCAUCCUGUCUGCUGAGUAGAUGCGGUGUUUCUGCCUCCUCAGAUACGCAUGUCCACACUCGCACCAUGCUUAAACUCUUAGGGCUUAGCUUUUUUUGUUGUGACCGCUACUUCUACACUCUAACAAGACAGUACUGGGUGCUGGCUUAAAUUAAUAAUUUAUUGUGAAAUGACCGUAAUUGUUCUCGUCUCUCUUGAGAACUGUUUUUCACCUGAGAUUUAGUUCUACAGGUUCCUGUUGCCUAGCAGUGGGUCUUUGAGAACAGCUUUUUGUCUAGUUUUAAUUGAACGGGCUGAUUGUCUGAAAUCUUCUUAGAAGAAAGUAAGGUUAUUGCAGUGAAGGUAAAAGGAAAUAUGGUGACAACUAAUGGGACAAAAUGUCAUCCAGCACAGCAGCUCUGGGAGAGAUUUGCAGAAACACAGCAACGUUAAGAAUGGAGUUUGCUCAAGGCAGCCCUUAGGAACUGCAUCCAGAGAUAGUCAUGGUAAAAGAAAAACACCAUUUUCUGGGUUCUCGUUAGGGAAUUGUAGGAAAUGGGUAUUUUCUGCUUACAAGAAACAACCUCUUUAGUUCCUAUUCUGUUUUUUUUUUUUUUUUUUUUUUUUUAGGGCCACACCCGCGAUGUAUGGACAUUCCCAGACUCAGGGUCCAUUCGGAGCCUACACCGCAGCCACAACAACGCCAGAUCCUUAACCCGCUGAGGGAGGCCAGGGAUUGAACGUGCAUCAUCAUGGUUUCUAGUGGGAUUCAUCUCCGCUGUGCCACUGUGGGAGCUCCAUUUAGUUCCUAUUCUUUUUUUUUUUUUUGUCUUUUUGCCUUUUUUGGGGCCACUCUUGCAGCAUAUGGAGGUUCCCAGGCUAGGGGUCUAAUCGGAGCUGUAGCCACUGGCCUGCGCCACAGCCACAGCAACGAGGCAUCCAAGCCGUGUCUGCAACCCACACCACAGCUCGCGGCAACGCCGGAUCCUCAACCCACUGAGCAAGGCCAGGGAGUGAACCUGCAACCUCAUGGUUCCUAGUCGGAUUCGUUAACCACUGUGCCACAACGGGAACUCCUUAGUUCCUAUUCUUAAUGAAAACAUUUUCUGCCUGAAUUUUUUAGUGUGGCGUUAUUAAACAAUGAAAACAUCUUUUCCAUACUUUUCAAAGUCUACCAGUUCCCUAUAUGUUUUGUUGGUUUGUACUAUAAAUGAACUCUAAAUAUUUUAGGAAAAAGUUUUAUGAUAGAUAAGUUCUUUUUAAAAUUUAGCACCUAAUUUUUUUAAAAUCAAAAUGAAAAAUUUCUUGCAUAAAGGGGAACGUUUACCUUUUACUUUGUUUUUCUUCCAUGUGGUAAAUCUUUUCCUUUACAAAGGAAGUGUGCUUACAGAAUUACUGAGGUGGUUUUUAGAAAGCAGUAAUCAUAGAAACCCCGUCCGUGCUUGCCCUAAUCUGUCUCCCCAAAGCCCUUGGUCUGAAAGCCAGCCGUGGCUCUUGUCCUUAUUACAUGUGACUCGUGGAACAGGAUUGUGCUGUUCACUGUGUACACUGGCACGGUGCCCUAGCAGCCCCUGUGAUGCUGCCUCAACAUCAGGAAGCUGUUUGUGAGUUUUACACCGUAUUGUAUACUAUAUUACAGUGUAUUUACUCUGUUGAUAAGUUACAGAAUAUCUGUAGUAUUUCUGCAUAAUCUAUAAAAAUACGACAUUAGAAAAUCUAGGGACUGUAAAUAUGAAAACAUGAAAAAAAGUUCUUUGGCACAAAAUCCCCUCCAAAAUAUGAAUAAUAUUUGCAUUGAGAGCCAUGAGAUUAAAUAUGCUUCAUUUUAUUAAAAAAUACUUUGGGUGAGACUAACUGGGUAUGGCGAUUUGGUUAAUUUUAGUGCAAAAUAGGAAUAAUAUUUGCAUUAAGAGCCAUGAGAUUAAAUAUGCUUCAUUUUAUUUAAAAAUACUUUGGGCGAGGCUAACUGGGUAUGGCGAUUUGGUUAAUUUUAUGCAAAAUAGGAAUAAUAUUUGCAUUAAGAGCCAUGAGAUUAAAUAUGCUUCAUUUUAUUUAAAAAUACUUUGGGCGAGGCUAACUAGGUAUGGCAAUUUGGUUAAUUUUAGUGCAAAAUAGGAAUAAUACUUGCACCGAGAGCCAUGAGAUUAAAUAUGCUUCAUUUUAUUUAAAAAUACUUUGGGCGAGGCUGACUAGGUAUGGCAAUUUGGUUAAUUUUAGUGCUUUUUUUAUUUUUAUUAUUUUUGGCUGUGCCUGUGGCACACGGAAUUUCCUGGGGUCUAACCCGCACCUCAGCAGCAACCCAAGCCUCUGCAGUGACAACGCUGGAUCCCUGACCCGUUGUGCCACGAGAGAGCUCCCAGGUGCUUAGUUUUAAUGACUUUUGUAGAUAAAAAUGUUAUUUUCACAAAAGUGUGUAGAUCUAAGUGGAAGAAAUAAAUCAUUGGCUGCAGUUCAAAGUCAUGAGCUUCAUUUUUGAAUCAUGCCCGCUAAUUAUGCAGAAGUUUUCAUUUAACUUGGGCUGUUAAAUGUGCAUUGUCCCUGAUGUCAGUCAGGUCUUGCCCCUUAAUCGGAAGGUUGAAUCUUGUAAGGAUAGCUUCGGAAUCCACUCAACCCUCUUCGUUUGGAAGUUUUUUAAAGAAACGGGGAAAAUUGUUUCCAGUUAACAUUGCACAUGUUAGAGUGUUUAAUAAGAGACUCAUCAAUUUUGGCAACAAAAUCACAGAGCAGCGGAAACAAAUCCUGGAGGUCAGGGCCUGGGAGAGUCCCUCUGCCUGCCUCCCUGAGCCUCUUGGGCCCAAAACCCAGUUCUCUGUCAGUUCCACCCAUUGUUUUCCUGGUUCUGCUCAGUCUGGACAUGAUAGUCCUUAAACAACAGGACAAGGUUAACCCCUGUCCUGAGUUUUCAUUUCUCCUCAGACCUGAACUAGUUCCUGACUUGAGGAUAUGAUGUGCGUGUGUCACUGUCUUUGAUUUCCCUGUGCCAGGUCCACCGCAGGUCCCCCAGCUCUGGUGGAGAACUCACCCUGGGGCGGUGCCGGUGUCAUACUGGCCUCAGGGAGCUGCCUCUCAGCCAGGACGCUUUUGCCGACCUCUCCGUGUUCAUGGAGGGAUAGAACUGUUCAGCUAAAUGUGAGUGUGGUGCUCGGGAACCACGAGCAGACGUGGGGGCGGCGGGGGGGAGAGUCAGACGGGAAGGAAGAGUCACGGAAGGAGGAGGUGGAGUUUUCAAAGAGGAGUCUCCGCGUGUUCUGGGACCGGGCGAGAAAGGCCGGCCUGAACCACCAACAUCCGGUCUCAUUUGGGUCCAAGCCCAAUUCCUAUGGCUAGAGACCUGCUGCUGUUUGAGCAAGGGGUCUGUCUCGUGAGAGGCGUUGGGAGAACGGCAACUCUGGAGUCAGAACCUGGAUUCUAGUCCAGCUCCACUGCUUCCCAGCUGGGCGACUGGGGAGAGUUAGCUGUCCUCCUGUGCUUCUGCCUGCUCACCCGUAAAUGGAGUUAGUGGUAGAGACCUUCCUUACAGGACUGCUGGGAAGAUGAAACAAGAUACGGGAAAUACAGUGCUUGUCAGUUUCUGACCUGUAAUUAACCUCAGAAACAUUAGCUGCAGUGGUCCCAGAGCGGGGCUCUUAACAGGCUUUCUCACACCCAAUUGUUGAAUAUUUUAAAAUGUUGAAACUCUUUCAACCUGCGGGUAACUUAAAAUUGGCUAUGGUGAGGGUGUUUACACCACGGAAAUGGGCAACCACCACCUCUUUCACAGCCCCCCGUGCAGAGCCAGUUUACAGCACAUUACUCGGUAGUGUUUUUAUUUCGUAUGGGUUUUGUUUGGUUUUUCCUGCAAAUAAAGCAGUUCCAGAUGCCCA